rnacentral:rRNA from 1 species
AUACGGAGGGUGCAAGCGUUACUCGGAAUCACUGGGCGUAAAGCGCGCGCAGGCGGCUUGAUAAGUUGGAUGUGAAAGCCUACGGCUCAACCGUAGAACUGCAUCCAAAACUGUCAGACUAGAGUGUGGGAGAGGAAGAUGGAAUUAGUUGUGUAGGGGUAAAAUCCGUAGAGAUAACUAGGAAUACCAAAAGCGAAGGCAAUCUUCUGGAACACUACUGACGCUGAGGCGCGAAGGCGUGGGGAGCAAACAGGAUUAGAAACCCCGGUAGUCC